rnacentral:rRNA from 1 species
GACGAACGCUGGCGGCGUGCUUAACACAUGCAAGUCGAACGGAAAGGCCCUGCUUUUGUGGGGUGCUCGAGUGGCGAACGGGUGAGUAACACGUGAGUAACCUGCCCUUGACUUUGGGAUAACUUCAGGAAACUGGGGCUAAUACCGGAUAGGAGCUCCUGCUGCAGGGUGGGGGUUGGAAAGUUUCGGCGGUUGGGGAUGGACUCGCGGCUUAUCAGCUUGUUGGUGGGGUAGUGGCUUACCAAGGCUUUGACGGGUAGCCGGCCUGAGAGGGUGACCGGCCACAUUGGGCCUGAGCUACGGCCCAGACUCCUACGGGAGGCAGCAGUGGGGAAUAUUGCACAAUGGGCGGAAGCCUGAUGCAGCAACGCCGCGUGCGGGAUGACGGCCUUCGGGUUGUAAACCGCUUUCGCCUGUGACGAAGCGUGAGUGACGGUAAUGGGUAAAGAAGCACCGGCUAACUACGUG